rnacentral:rRNA from 1 species
GACGAACGCUGGCGGCGUGCCUAAUACAUGCAAGUAGAACGGAAAGGCCGGGCCUUUGUGGGGUGCUCGAGUGGCGAACGGGUGAGUAACACGUGAGUAACCUGCCCUUGACUUUGGGAUAACUUCAGGAAACUGUGGCUAAUACCGGAUAGGAGCUCCUGCUGCAUGGCGGUGGCUGGAAAGUUUCGUCGGCUGGGGAAGGACUCGCGGCUUCUUAGCUUGAGGGUGGGGUUGUGGCAUAGCAAGGCUUAGACGGGUAGCCGGCCUGGGAGUGUGACCGGCCACAUUGGGACUGAGGUGGGAGCCGUACUCCUACGGGGGGCAGAGGUGGAGGUCAUUGCGCGAUGGGCGGAAGCCUGAUGGAGCAACUCCGCGUGCGGGAUGACGGCCUUCGGGGUAUAAACCGCUUUCGCCUGUAACGUAGAGUGAGUGACGGUAACGGAUAAGAAAGCACCGGCUAACUACGUG